rnacentral:rRNA from 1 species
GAGUUUGAUCUUGGCUCGGAACGAACGCUGGCGGCAGGCUUAACACAUGCAGGUCGAACGAGCUGGGACCUUCGGGUCCCGAUGCUAGUGGCGCACGGGUGAGUAACACGUGGGUAACCCACCCUUGGUACUGGGAUAGCCCGGGGAAACCCGGAUUAAUACCGGAUGGCCCAAACAGUUCUUCGGAGCGGUUGGAAAAGGUAGCUUCGGCCUCCGACCAAGGACGGGCCCGCGGCGGAUUAGCUUGUUGGUGGGGGUAACGGCCUACCAAGGCGACGAUCCGUAGCUGGUCUGAGAGGACGAUCAGCCACACUGGGGACUGAGACACGGCCCAGACUCCUACGGGAGGCAGCAGUGGGGAAUCUUGCGC